rnacentral:rRNA from 1 species
GACGAACGCUGGCGGCGUGCCUAAUACAUGCAAGUCGAACGAAGCUGUUUUAACUGGUGCUUGCACCGACUUAAACAACUGAGUGGCGAACGGGUGAGUAACACGUGGGUAACCUGCCCCAAAGCGGGGGAUAACAUUUGGAAACAGAUGCUAAUACCGCAUAACCACAGAAACCACAUGGUUUCUGUGUCAAAGAUGGUUUCGGCUAUCACUUUGGGAUGGACCCGCGGCGUAUUAGCUAGUUGGUAAGGUAAUGGCUUACCAAGGCAAUGGUACGUAGCCGAACUGAGAGGUUGAUCGGCCACAUUGGGACUGAGACACGGCCCAAACGCCUACGGGAGGCAGCAGUAGGGAAUCUUCCACAAUGGACGAAAGUCUGAUGGAGCAACGCCGCGUGAGUGAAGAAGGUUUUCGGAUCGUAAAACUCUGUUGUCAGAGAAGAACGUGUGCGAGAGUAACUGUUCGUGCAGUGACGGUAUCUGGCCAGAAAGCCACGGCUGACUACGUGCCAGCCGCCGCGGUAA